CUGAAAUAAUUUUAGUUUUAUACAGAGUACUAAAAGAAAUUUACAUGUUGCGGAACGUGAUUACAUGAUAGAUUGUGUAACAUAAUCAAUGUAUUUAUGUACAGAACAAAUGAAAAAUGCAAGUGGUUUUAACUUUUAAGUGUGCUUAUCACUAUCAAAAAAAGGUAACACAAGUGUACGGGAUACUCCCGUAGGCCCAAUUCUAUACCAGAAUAUCAUAUUCUAGUGUUAUGGGCUCAAAGUGCAAUAAAGGCCAAGGCCCAAUCUAUGACCUAAUACUCCAUCAAACCCCUAUAAAUACUCAUUUAUGGGGGAAGGUAAACUUAACUUCUCUACACUCUCUACCCCCUCCUCUCUGUACUCCAUCUCUUUUAUGAUAUAUUACUAAUGUUGGGCGUCGGAGGCUCCGAUCCGGGGAACCUCCCUCGGGUUCGGGGUUUACUUUGCAAGAAAUCACCUCCACAUUCAAGAUAUGAAGAUCCGACCACACCACCGAUUCCAAUACGAAGGAGGGGCACAAUAACAAAUCAUUGUGCCACGAAUAUCCGAUUGGAGUAGAGAAAGAGAGUUCACUGCCAAACUCAAGUUAAAAACAAAACUGACUUAUUCAAUCUACCACUAGAAUUCACAAAACCAUACGUUACCUGACUGGAGGGUAUUUCCAUAUUCCAGAUCUAAAGUUAACAUAGCACAUAGUUCUUCUCCUCGAACAUAUCAAAGAAGUUGAUGAAAAAACCAUUGCAAAAUCAAAGAGCCGACUUUACCUUCUAUGCAAACACAAAUAGCCGGCUGUUAAGCAUCAAUUAUGGGUAAAGAAAUUGACCACAGUAUAUUGUCGGUCAAUUUAAAGAAGAAGACGGAAAGUUAAGCAUCAAUUGUGGGUAAAGAAGUUGCUCAACGUGAGUAUUAAAGCAACAGGAAGGGUUCAGAUGCCAAAAGAACCGAUUAAAUCAACGCUAUCGGUGCUUCUCCUACCGACUGGUAUGCUACCGGCGUCACCGGAUGAGUGCCGUUUUGGUCCGCUAAAGGUGCUUAAUCCAACCAUUGCCUCGCAUUUUCCGAGUUGAAGUCUAGUCAAUCCCAUGAUAACCUAUGAAAGACAUUUCAUCAUUUACGGACGUAAGCAGAAAAUUUCUGAAAAACGGAUAAGCGGGCAACAAUUACAACACUUCAUCGUGCGCUAAGCAGGAAAACUCUGAAAAGAUAAGCUUGCAGCAAUUACGAUAAAAGUCAGGAAAGUCUCCCUAAAUCCUUAUUGUAUAUGCUUGAUGUUAAGUAUGGUUAUACGUGAUUAUAUGCAUGAGAAGGGAACUGCUUCUUAAUUAUUCAUUACACUCACAUGAAGUAUGUGGUUCAGUGGUUACACUCCUAAGACACAAAGUCAACCUAAAAAGAAAGAGAAAAGCACUAUGAUCUUAAGGUGAUAUGUUGUUCCAACUAUGUUAGCUAGUACCAAUCAUGAUGUAUGUUGCAACGAAUCAGGCUUAGAGGUGUCAAGUUUCAAUAAGGUUAAGCCUUUAGCGACUUGACUAAUCGGAAGUAAUCGUGUCCAAUUCUCUUGUAUGUUGUUAGUUGUAGCCAACAAAUACAGUCGUCGUGGAAUAAAACAUUUAAUAUGGACUCAUCUAA